rnacentral:rRNA from 2 species
UACGAAGGGGGCUAGCGUUGUUCGGAUUUACUGGGCGUAAAGCGCACGUAGGCGGCUUGUUAAGUGAGGGGUGAAAUCCUGGAGCUCAACUCCAGAACUGCCUUUCAUACUGGCAAGCUAGAGUCCGGAAGAGGUGAGUGGAACUCCUAGUGUAGAGGUGGAAUUCGUAGAUAUUAGGAAGAACACCAGUGGCGAAGGCGGCUCACUGGUCCGGUACUGACGCUGAGGUGCGAAAGCGUGGGGAGCAAACAGG